AGAGUUUGAUCAUGGCUCAGAACGAACGUUAGCGGCACGCUUAACACAUGCAAGUCGAGCGCGAAGUCUUCGGACUUUGAGCGGCGCACGGGUGAGGAACACGUAGAUAAUCUACCCUCGAGUGGUGGAUAACGUUUCGAAAGGAACGCUAAUACAGCAUAACACUACGAGCCCUCGGGUUUGUAGCCAAAGCGGGGGGAUCUUCGGACCUCGCGCUUGAGGAUGAGUCUGCGGCCCAUCAGCUAGUUGGUAGUGUAAUAGACUACCAAGGCAAAGACGGGUAGCUGGUCUGAGAGGAUGAACAGCCACACUGGAACUGAGACACGGUCCAGACUCCUACGGGAGGCAGCAGUGGGGAAUCUUGCGCAAUGGGCGAAAGCCUGACGCAGCGAUGCCGCGUGAGCGAUGAAGGCCUUCGGGUUGUAAAGCUCUGUGGAUGGAGACGAAUAAGUGGUAGUUAACACCUGCCAUGAUGACGGUAUCCAUUUAGCAAGCACCGGCUAACUCUGUGCCAGCAGCCGCGGUAAGACAGAGGGUGCAAACGUUGUUCGGAAUUACUGGGCGUAAAGCGCGUGUAGGCGGCUUUGUAAGUCGGAUGUGAAAUCCCGCGGCUCAACCGUGGAAGUGCACCCGAAACUACAUCGCUAGAGUAUCGGAGAGGAAAGUGGAAUGCUUGGUGUAGAGGUGAAAUUCGUAGAUAUCAAGCGGAACACCGGUGGCGAAGGCGGCUUUCUGGACGAUUACUGACGCUGAGACGCGAAAGCGUGGGUAGCAAACAGGAUUAGAUACCCUAGUAGUCC
rnacentral:rRNA from 1 species